GUAGGGAAUAUUGGGCAAUGGAGGCAACUCUGACCCAGCCAUGCCGCGUGCAGGAAGACGGUCCUCUGGAUUGUAAACUGCUUUUGAAUGGGAAGAACACUACCCUUGCGAGGGUAUUUGACGGUACUAUUAGAAUAAGCACCGGCUAACUCCGUGCCAGCAGCCGCGGUAAUACGGAGGGUGCAAGCGUUAUCCGGAUUUAUUGGGUUUAAAGGGUGCGUAGGCGGCUUGAUAAGUCUGGGGUUAAAGGCGGCAGCUUAACUGUACGCAUGCCCUAGAUACUGUUGAGCUUGAGUGACCUGGAGGUAGCUGGAAUUCCCUGUGUAGCGGUGAAAUGCAUAGAUACGGGGAGGAAUACCGAUUGCGAAGGCAUGUUACUACGGGUAAACUGACGCUGAUGCACGAAAGCGUGGGGAUCAAACAGGAUUAGAAACCCCUGUAGUCC
rnacentral:rRNA from 1 species